GAGAGAGAUAGACAAAGACAGACACACACACAGACACAGAGAGAGAGAAAGAGACAUACAGAGACAGAGAGAGACCGACAGAGAAAGACAGAUAGAGAGAGAGAGAGAGAGAGACAGACAGAGACAGACAAACAGGCAGACAGACACCGAGCGAGACAGAGGUAUUACGACAUGAUGGGGAUUCCUUGCAGGACCUGUUGGUAUUCUUUAGAGUAGUGGGCUAGGUUCACACCAGAUCAUUAUCACCACAGCAUGGCUGAGUCAUGAGCCGUUAGUGGGCGGGUUCUCCAUCUCGACGUCUGCUCACUCUCCAUAUCGUCAUUCCCUGUAGCUUGUUCUUAUACACCUCACAUUCAUUACCAAAUCGAGGCCCAUCUGUAAUUCCACGUUUCCCCACACAGUAUCUAACUGAAGCUAUUGCGCUGCAAGAUGCCCUUUAAACUCCAAUGUUUGCCCCAGAUUAACUGCAAAAGGUCAGGCGAGUUUAACUCACUGCCCAUCCCCACUAUAGCAGAACUAAACUCACUGCUUAACACCACCAUAGCAGAACUAAACUCACUGCUUAUCCCCACUAUGGCAGCACUAAAACAGGCCAGGUGAGCUACACUCACGGCACACUUUAAUGACUGGUGUAAACUGAGCCAAGCCAAUCAGAUGCAGUAGAUUACCAACUCGUUAAAUAUUAACAUUAAAAAGAAAGAACGACUUGAACUUGAGUUUGUCACUAAAUACCUCAGAGAGCAACUGAAGAUGUCGUUACAAAUCGAUUUCACACACACACACACACACACACACACACACACACACACACACACACACACACACACACACACACACACACACACACACACACACACACACACACACACACACACACACACACACACACACA